GAUGAAAUACUGGUCCUCGUACGAUUACUGAAGUUAAGCAACACCGAGUCCGGUCAGUACCUAGAUGGGUGACCACUUGAGAAUACCAGGUGCUGUAA